rnacentral:rRNA from 1 species
AGUGAACGCUGGCGGUAGGCCUAACACAUGCAAGUCGAACGGCAGCACAGUAAGAGCUUGCUCUUACGGGUGGCGAGUGGCGGACGGGUGAGGAAUACAUCGGAAUCUACUUUUUCGUGGGGGACAACGUAGGGACACUUACGCUAAUACCGCAUACGACCUACGGGUGAAAGCAGGGGAUCUUCGGACCUUGCGCGAUUGAAUGAGCCGAUGUCGGAUUAGCUAGUUGGCGGGGUAAAGGCCCACCAAGGCGACGAUCCGUAGCUGGUCUGAGAGGAUGAUCAGCCACACUGGAACUGAGACACGGUCCAGACUCCUACGGGAGGCAGCAGUGGGGAAUAUUGGACAAUGGGCGCAAGCCUGAUGCAGCCAUACCGCGUGGGUGAAGAAGGCCUUCGGGUUGUAAAGCCCUUUUGUUGGGAAAGAAAAGCAGCAGGUUAAUACCCCGCUGUUCUGACGGUACCCAAAGAAUAAGCACCGGCUAACUUCGUG